CAGUAGCCGCGGUAAUACGUAGGGUGCGAGCGUUAAUCGGAAUUACUGGGCGUAAAGCGUGCGCAGGCGGUUGUGUAAGACAGGUGUGAAAUCCCCGGGCUCAACCUGGGAACUGCGUUCUGAACUGGGUAACUAGAGUGUGUCAGAGGGAGGUAGAAUUCCACGUGUAGCAGUGAAAUGCGUAGAGAUGUGGAGGAAUACCGAUGGCGAAGGCAGCCUCCUGGGAUAACACUGACGUUCAUGCCCGAAAGCGUGGGUAGCAAACAGGAUUAGAUACCCGCGUAGUCCCUGUCUCUUAUAA
rnacentral:rRNA from 1 species